GACGUAGGGCGCGAGCGUUGUCCGGAUUUAUUGGGCGUAAAGAGCUCGUAGGCGGCUUGUUGCGUCGACCGUGAAAACCCGCGGCUCAACUGCGGGCUUGCGGUUGAUACGGGCAGGCUGGAGUUCGGUAGGGGAGACUGGAAUUCCUGGUGUAGCGGUGAAAUGCGCAGAUAUCAGGAGGAACACCGGUGGCGAAGGCGGAUCUCUGGGCCUUACCUGACGCUGAGGCGCGAAAGCUAGGGGAGCGAACAGG
rnacentral:rRNA from 1 species